CGCACUUUGGAGAUUUUGGGAGAGCUGAACGGAUACAUCAUCUAUAAGGUCAACAAUGUGGAAACAGACGGUUACAAAGAUCAUGAAGAGGCGUUCCGGAAAGGAGUGCGUCUGGGAUGUAGUGAAAUUUCGGACGUCCUGAAUAAGUUGAAAGCGGGAACUAUCCAAGCAGCGAUGGACAAGGCAAUCACAAGCAAAUCUGCGGAAAAGGUCACUCUUGCCGGACCUGCUUAUUCCAUACCGAGGAUUUUUGGAUGUAGCUCGCAUUGUACAGGACAGCUUCUGGG